rnacentral:rRNA from 1 species
CUACGAGACGCAGCAGUAGGGAAUAUUGCCCAAUGGACGAAAGUCUGAGGCAGCAACGCCGCGUGCGCGAUGAAGGCCUUCAGGUUGUAAAGCGCUUUUGUGAGGGAAGAGAAAGGACGGUACCUCACGAAUAAGGAUCGGCUAACUACGUGCCAGCAGCCGCGGUAACACGUAGGAUUCAAACGUUAUCCGGAUUUAUUGGGCGUAAAGCGCGUGCAGGCGGUUUGGUAAGUUGGAUGUGAAAGCUCCGGGCUCAACCCGGAGAGGUUAUUCAAUACUGCCAGACUAGAGGACGAUAGAGGGAGGUGGAAUUCCGGGUGUAGUGGUGAAAUGCGCAGAUAUCCGGAGGAACACCAGUGGCGAAGGCGGCCUCCUGGGUCGCUCCUGACGCUCAGACGCGAAAGCUAGGGUAGCAAACGGGAUUAGAUACCCGAGUAGUC